GAUGAACGCUGGCGGCGUGCCUAAUACAUGCAAGUCGAGCGAACGGACGAGAAGCUUGCUUUUCUGAUGUUAGCGGCGGACGGGUGAGUAACACGUGGAUAACCUACCUAUAAGACUGGGAUAACUUCGGGAAACCGGAGCUAAUACCGGAUAAUAUUUUGAACCGCAUGGUUCAAAAGUGAAAGACGGUCUUGCUGUCACUUAUAGAUGGAUCCGCGCUGCAUUAGCUAGUUGGUAAGGUAACGGCUUACCAAGGCAACGAUGCAUAACCGACCUGAGAGGGUGAUCGGCCACACUGGAACUGAGACACGGUCCAGACUCCUACGGGAGGCAGCAGUAGGGAAUCUUCCGCAAUGGGCGAAAGCCUGACGGAGCGACGCCGCGUGAGUGAUGAAGGUCUUCGGAUCGUAAAACUCUGUUAUUAGGGAAGAACAUAUGUGUAAGUAACUGUGCACAUCUUGACGGUACCUAAUCAGAAAGCCACGGCUAACUACGUG
rnacentral:rRNA from 1 species